rnacentral:rRNA from 1 species
UGAGUACGAGGAGCUACGGCUCCGAAGUUGUUGAUGUCACGCUUCCAAGAAAAGCUCUAAACACGUUAAUUCAAAAUUGCCCGUACCCUAAACCGACACAGGUGGGAUGGUUGAGAAUACCAAAGGGCGCGAGAGAACUCUCUCUAAGGAACUCGGCAAAAUGGCCCCGUAACUUCGGGAGAAGGGGUGCCCACGCAAGUGGGUCGCAGUGAAGAGUCCCAGGCGACCGUUUACCAAAAACACAGGUCUCCGCUAAGUCGUAAGACGAUGUAUGGGGGCUGACGCCUGCCCAGUGCCGGAAGGUUAAGGAAGUUGGUCAGCGCAAGCGAAGCUGACGACCGAAGCCCCGGUGAACGGCGGCCGUAACUAUAACGGUCCUAAGGUAGCGAAAUUCCUUGUCAGGUAAGUUCUGACCCGCACGAAAGGCGUAACGAUCUGGGAGCUGUCUCGGAGAGAGGCUCGGCGAAAUAGGAUUGUCUGUGAAGAUACGGACUACCUGCACCUGGACAGAAAGACCCUAUGAAGCUUUACUGUAGCCUGGAAUUGGGUUCGGGCUUUGACUGCGCAGGAUAGGUGGGAGGCUUUGAAGUAGUCCUUGUGGGGAUUAUGGAGCCAUCGGUGUGAUACCACUCUGUCAGAGCUAGAAUUCUAACCUUCUGCCGUUAUCCGGCGAAGGAACAGUUUCAGGUGGGCAGUUUGACUGGGGCGGUCGCCUCCUAAACGAUAACGGAGGCGCGCAAAGGUUCUCUCAGGUUGGUCGGAAAUCAACCGUGGAGUGUAAAAGCAUAAGAGAGCUUGACUGCAAGACCUACAAGUCGAGCAGGGACGAAAGUCGGCUUUAGUGAUCCGGCGGCACUGAGUGGAAGGGCCGUCGCUCAACGGAUAAAAGUUACUCUAAGGAUAACAGGCUGAUCUCCCCCAAGAGUUCACAUCGACGGGGAGGUUUGGCACCUCGAUGUCGGCUCAUCGCAACCUGGGGCGGUAGUACGUCCCAAGGGUUGGGCUGUUCGCCCAUUAAAGCGGUACGUGAGCUGGGUUCAGAACGUCGUGAGACAGUUCGGUCCAUAUCCGGUGCAGGCGCAAGAGCAUUGAGAGGAUCCUUCCUUAGUACGAGAGGACCGGGAAGGACGCACCGCUGGUGUACCUGUUAUCGUGCCAACGGUAAACGCAGGGUAGCCAAGUGCGGAGUGGAUAACCGCUGAAAGCAUCUAAGUAGGAAGCCCACCUCAAGAUGAGUGCUCUCAUGGCAAAAGCCAGUAAGGUCACGGGUAGAACACCCGUUUAUAGGCGGCAGAUGGAAGCGUGGUAACAUGUUCAGUCGAGCCGUACUAAUAGACCGAGGGCUUGACCG